rnacentral:tRNA from 12 species
GCCGAUGUGGCGGAAUUGGCAGACGCGGCGGUCUCAAAAACCGUUGGAUAACCUCCAUGCCGGUUCGACUCCGGCCAUCGGCACCA